UAUUUACACAUUGUUAGGUUAUUUUAUUAAGUGAUUCAAGUAUAUUUGUCCAUGGUUGUGAUUAAGUAAUUUCUAAUCUUCUUAUUUGGGGACUUUGUCUUUCCAACCUCACUGGAUAGUCAAAAGGGUGGGAUAUGGUUUAUUCAGAAUUUGUUAUUAAGGGCCACAAGAAAAAAGGUUUACUAAAAUAGCCCCCCGAUCAAGCUUUCCUCUAUUGAUGGUCCGCUUUAACCAUUAUUUCAUAGAAAUUCUAAGCUUCUUAAGAGCUAAACGUUUGGAACUUUUGUUAAAUUUUAACUUCUGACAUAUAUUGUUUUAGUGUUGAUUUUUACUGAACAUGUUUUUUGCUUUAAUAUUCCUGGGGGUCUAAUCAAUUUGUCCCUCCUAACAAACCAACUCCAGAAAGAAGUCACGACUACCCGUCUGCCAAGUUAUAAGAAUCAAUAUUUGUCUUAAUUAAUUUCUGGGAUAAAAAACAUUUUAAUUUUUUUUUGAUUCCAUGUCCAUAGCAAGAAACUUGAGACGGGAGGUGGGGGUGAUCAUGGUCUCCUCCUAAUUAUGAACUAUGUUUCUAUGAUGCUCGGACUCGGCUCACCACCCCUCCGUACCGGUGUCGACACGACACGACCCGGGUGCGGACACGGAAUCCGGAUCGGACCCGCCGGAGAGAAAGUGGACUCGACACUCUUUAACCCUAGAUCUAAAAAUUGAGAAGAGAAAACAACAAAUCAAGAGCCGAAACCUUAGGGCUUUUGUUCGGCCAGAAAUUCCGAGUUGAUCGGACCACCGAGUUGUUGGUUUUCUUCUCCGGCGAAGGGUGGUUGUCGACAUUAGCAGAAUAGCAGGUUCGACUUUUUUGAAAAAAAUAUCUUCGACAUUAGCAGAAUAGCAGGUUCUGAUUUUCGGUUUUAAUUUUUUUUUACUUUUUAAUGUGGGGUUGGGUAGGUGGAAGAAAGUGACUGAUUCCCAUCUACCUCUUUUUCUGCUUUUUAACUUCGGAUUUUUCAUGAAAUGCCCCUGAGGUUUAUCUUAAUGCACCAAAUACCCCUAAACUUUCCAGAAUGCACCAAAUACCCCUGAGGUUUAGUAUAAAUACACAAAAUGCCCACAAGGCUAACGGACGUUAAGUACCCGUUAGCGUAUGUUUACCUUUAUGCCCUUAAUAAACCGUUUUCUCUACUUAUCCUAACAUUAACCCCUUAAUUAUAUUAAUCAACUCUUAAUUACAUUAAUUAAUCCUUAAUUAAAUUAAUUAACCCUUAAUUACAUUAACUAAUCCUUAAUUAAAUUAAUUAACCCUUAAUUAAAUUAAUUAAUUAUUAUCUAAAAAAACCAAUUACCCCCAAAUUUUUUGGGAUUCUCCAUUGCCACCCUGUUGUUUCCUUUGGUCUGUCUCCUCAAUUCCCACCACCACCAUGUCAACCCUCUCUCCAUUAUCAAUACCAACCAUAACUCCUGCUUCCAAGUUCCACCUCCAUGCCUAAUCUCUCUCCUUCCCUCACCCUCCACACUGAUCUAAUUUGAGGAGUUAAGCAACCACAUGACCUUCAUCCUCGCAGCACCAACGAAUUAGAGGAGAGAGAACGCCACCACCACCAAACCCCACCGCCGCCAUGCCGCCACCACCAAACCCCACUCCCCCUUCCUCACCGAUGACGUUUCCCUCCCCCGCACUUCCCCCAUCUUCCUCAUUGCUCCCCACUGCCGCCGUCACCACCAAACCCGUGUUUCCCUUCCCUGCACUUCCCCCACCUUCCUCAUUGCUCCCCACUACCGCCGCCACCAAACCCCACUCCCCCUUCCUCACCGGCGUCGUUGCCCACCCCCCACUUCCCCCUCCGUUACGAUAAUUGCGACUAGAUUGCUGAUUUGGGGAUCAAUUUUUUUGGGAUCUGGAUUUUGAGGAGAGAGGAAAAUCGAUGUGCUUAUCUGCCGUGGAACAGGCUGGUGUCGGUGGCGGUGUGGGGUGGUGGUGAGGAAGAGAAGGGGUUAGCAGGGUGGUGUGUGUGGUGGUGGUGAUGAAGAGAAGGGCUGCCAUGGAAGACAGGGAAGAAGGAAGGGGAGAGAGAAAAAAACAAAAAAUAAAAAAUAAGAAAUUAAAAGGGAAAGAGAAAAAAUAAAAAUUAAAUUAAAUUAAAGUUAAAGUUAACGGUUAAUGUUAACGGAGUUAACGGAAAAUAGUCAUUUUGGGUAUUUUGUGUAUUUAUACUAAACCUCGGGGGUAUUUGGUGCAUUCUGGAAAGUUUAAGGGUAUUUGGCGCAUUAAGAUAAACGUCAAGGGCAUUUCAUGAAAAAUCCGUUUUAACUUUAUUAGUGGGUAGUCUUGAGUCUUGAGUCCUUUGCCUCUUUUUCUGUUUUUACUUUAUUUGAUAAUAUGAGCAAUAAAGUAUGGUAUUUUUAUUUAAGGAGUUUGACUUCUCACUUAAUACUUAAUUAUAUAUAUUGAGAAAACUACUAUAAUCAGUACUUUUUAAAAAAAAAUCUGCAAAUAAAAAAUAAAAAAUCUUUAUUUUGUUUUUGCACUGCCGUGUCCCCGGGUCUAAAUAUAAGUUUCGGACCCUUUCAAAACGUGUCCCCGAGUCCUUGAUUUUUGAGUUUCUCAUGUCCGACACUCGGAUCCCUUACCCGGGUCCGACACCCGUACCCGAGUCCGAGCAUCCUAGCUAUGUUUUAUUAAAUACGUAUCUAAUAAUGGAUAAUUUGGCAAGGAUGAGCAGACUUUUUUCUUACCAAAUCACUGAUUUCUUGUGAAGCUGAUCCUUCUUCGUCUGGAGGGUUCUGUUAAAUAAAGAAACAAGAGUGAUAAGUUUAUUUGUAGAUGCAACUUUUUACUUUUAAGAUACAUACUCUAGUUUGGCUAUAGUUAAUACUAAUUUAUACAGUAUUUAACAUAAAAUAUUAUCAUAAAGCCCUGAUUAGUUCAACUUAUUCGGGAAAAGUAGGUUAAGGUAGUUCAUAAUAGUCUAAUAGUCCCUCCGUUUUAGAAUAUGUGCAACACUUGAAAUGCACUAAGUUUUAGGCAAUUGAAUUAAGUUCAUUAUUUUAAUUGCAAGUGAGUGAAGUUGAGAAUUAAAUGUGUUUAUGAAAGGUUAGUGGCGUACUCCAUAGUAUUUAUUCAUAAAUAGAGAAUAGAGAAGUUAAAACAAAAGGUAGUGGGGUAAGACUGGAUAGAGGAGAGAGAAAUAAUAAAGGAAUAGCAAGUGAGGUAGAUGUAAAGAGAGGGAGAGAGAGAGAGAGGGAGAGUGAAUAUUGUUUAAAGUUGCCAAAAAUUUAAGUGAUACACUUGUUUUGAAAAAGGCAAGUGUUGCAUUUAUUCUGAAUGGAAGGAGUAUAAGUUUAGACAAGAUAAGUUUUGUUUAGACAAUUUCAAAUAAAAUAAGUAUUUAUUCAUACAAUUUAGAAAAAAAUAAACUAAAAUAAAAAUGAGUUGAACCAAAUAGACCCGAAGUUAUACAAUUAUUUUUUGGAGAUAUCUCAUAUGGUAUGAAACCCAUCAUCUUUCCAUGUAAAAUGUAAACCCCCUUAUGUCAAGAAAUUAUAAGAAAUGCCACCUAGGUUUUUAACUUUUUAGUUUUUACUAAUUACUAAUCUCGGAGAUUAACCACCAAGGUUGGUCAUUUUAAGUUAUUGUUAAUUACUGAUCUCCGAAACAUAAAAAUAAAAUAUUACCAAUCUUUGAAAUUGACCUUCAUAGGCCACCUUAACAUAUACAAGGAUUAUAUAUUGAUUGCUAACGAAAAUAAAGGGUACUCAGUAGCAACUAGCAAGUGGGCAUAAAUAGCUCUGUAUAUGCUACGGUCAAACCAUUCGCAUAUAAUCCAAGUGAAUGGAUCAUGGAAAAAGGAGAAUGAGAAAGCUGGGAUUGGCUGUGCCAUGUCUACGGACUUGGAUGAAGAGGGCCUAUCACACUUAGCACAAUCUGCGCUUCAUGCUGAAUCCCUUGUUUACAUGCGCUCUGAUGGGCUAUCAGUCUGUAAUAAUGGAAAUCCAAAGAGUACUGAUAAUUUCUGACUCAGAGAUCAUGGUUCGAAAUCUACAAAGAAGAACCAAGGAUGACAUUUCCAUCUUAUGGAUUUUGGAAGAUAUUCGAGCUACUGCAGUGGGUUUCGAGGUUGAUAAAAUCGUAAGGUGGGAAGAUUAAAGGAUGAUUCGGCACACAGAAUAGUGAACUCAUACAGCUCUCUCUAGCUUUGGGGCAUUGAGAAGGAAGGACACUUUCAGAGGCGAAAGGUCAGUGUGGUGGUAUUGAGUUGUUUCAGAAGCUUCCCAUUUUGAAAAAAUGGUUCAUUAUUUCCCGACUAUUGUUGAUGAUCAUUCUCUCCAAUACCCCUGGUGCUGAAGACAGGAGGAUUAAUGAGUUAGGCUGCUGCGCUGCUCCUGGUUGCUCUGUUCUGUUGGUGCUGCUGUGUGUUUUUCAGCCUCUUCUGCACAACGUUGAAGGUGGCCGCAUAACUGAUGAGGAAUUAUUUGUAGUUUGUGUGUUUAUCGGUUCGUACAAUGUAGUUUUAGACCAAAGUCCGACUCUGGUCAACUUUGGUAGUCUUGCUAGUUUUUUUGUUUGUUUGGUUAUAGUGUGGUAGGCUAUAAGUUUUUGGGCUUACAGGUUGUUGCAAGCCCUAGGUGGUUUUAGUUGAGCUUAUACAAUUUGGUUUGCUUUUGGAAAAAAAUGUUGAUUAAAAAUUGUUUUUUUGUAUGA